AUUUAAUGAAUGCAGAUUGCUCUUAAUUAAAGGAACGUUAGCAAUUUCACGCUGGGCGUCUAAAGAGUUACAAAGACAGAUGACGGAUCAAGACAUGAGCCGCUGAUCCAUUUUAUCCGCAGUCCCAUCAAAAAUACAAGCCGUUGUGCAAAAUGUCAUUUAGGCUGUUGUAUUUAAGCCCUCACGGUGUGUUACCUUUAGCGACUAUUUAUCAGUAAACUAUCUUGCAUAAGGAAUGCAGUUGUAAAUGCUGCAGUUGACGGAGACAUUAACUGCUGAAACCAACGGAUUACACAUUCAUGAAAGUCAAAUUAAGCCGUGGUAUGUUGAACCCCAUAAACCACCCAGAUCCCCUUUUUAAAAAAAAAAUCAUUUGAUGUUUCCACAAUGGAGGAGUACUUCAGCUGAACAGUGCUGCUCGCGCCGGGACAAUGGCGGGGCGCGCAGGUGUUCCGGAAUCCGCAAGUACUGCUGUAUAGCGCCCCUAUGGCUUGCCACUGUGAAGUGCAUGCGGUCUUGAGGAAAGAGCGCCCUCUACUAACGAACCGACAGCACUUCCCCGAGGACAACUGUGCGUUCCCUGGCCUCCAAUUCAAAUUCUGCCACGACUCAGGACUCUCAUUAAGUGAGUGAUGAGAGUGAGAGAGACUGAGAGAGUGAUGUCACAGAAGAGGCGGGCUUAAGGCCAGGCGAAGCGCCAAGUCAUUCCUGACGUCAGCCUUUACAGACCUGCACCUCUGGAGGCUCGUGUUUUACGGUAGAAACGCUCCGUUUUCCCAUUGGCUCCUCGGUGACGUCACUCUGACCAAGCGGCUGAUGUCGUCGCAGCUGCAAUCUGCCUUCGGUUAUACGGGUCACGUGUGGCUUCGCACAAACUAACGACAUCCUCAAGCUUCUGACAAGCUCUCGUGUGUGUGUUCGCAUUCUAAUAAAUCGGUGUUCAGCUGUUUA